rnacentral:lncRNA from 1 species
AUGGUGAAGCAUGGGAACGCGGCAGCCGAGUAUUUGCAGAGUGCCCCAAUCCGACGGCUGCGACACCCGCUAGAUGAAAGUCCAUUCUGGGCCAUCUUUUGCUCAACACUUGGUGAUACCUUGGCUUUUGUGGCCAGUCUACCAAUAAUUGCACUUCUUGUCAUUAUCUUACCGGUAUUUUCUCUUACCAGAUGGAUCCUUCUCCUUGCCUACUGGAACACACGCCGCAGGUGCUUCAGAGUAAGCGGUGGGGUGGAAUCAAUGCGAGGUCAGGACGCCAAGUGGUUAGGUAGCGCAUGGCAGCGUUCGGUGCUCCAUGCAGUGCUCGUUUUUGACUCUCGGCUUGAUCUAAUGAGGCUAAAGCAAGCCCUCCUUCAGCGUGUGAUCCCAUUCUGUCCUCGCCUAAUCUCGAAGCCAUUUGCGCUGCCACUCACGGCCGGUGCUGGCCAUUGUUGGCUCCCGGACUCCUCGUUUGAUAUACACCGACAUGUCUUCCACGCACCAGAGCUUUCUCAGGAUCAUGGUGCUACAAAGUUACAGGACUACGUAGGGAAGCUUUUAAGCAAAAGUCUGUCUGCUGAUAAACCGCCAUGGGAACUUCAUGUCAUGCCUCGAUCAGUAGAAACUACUGUGUCCUCUCCAUGUGAAGCUCCGGACACUAUCGUCAUUCUGCGAAUUCAUCAAAGCCUUGCCGAUGGCACAUCAUUAGUCAAAUUACUUUGCCAAAAUCUCUCUGAUACCAAAGUAAACUGGACCACUCCAAAGAAAUUUGGACGCAUCCAAUUCUGCUACUUGUACAUCCGUGCGUGCCUCAUCUGCCCACUUGCUCUGUGUUGCUGGCUCCUGACUUCACGGAAGGACCGCAACCUAAUAAAUGGGCCACAAAAAUGGACCAAUCACAAUGUUGUAUCUAUGUCUUCAAUGUUAAGUAUGAGCAAAGCAACCCGCAUCAAACAAGUAACACGUUCAUCAAUGAACUGUGUCGUCCUUUCCGCAUUUGCAGGAGCCUUGAGAUUGUUUUUGCAAAGUUGUGGAAUUAGACAUCCACCCGACAUGAAGAUCGUGAUUCCUGUGAACAUGAACCAAGGGGGCAUGUCAGUCCAGCCAAACAUUAACAGUAAAGUUUCUCCUGUCGUUAUGACUCUACCUGUGAGUAUUGAAGGAGCUUUGCCACGCUUGUGGUACACGAGAAGUCGCCUCAAAACACUGCGGUCAUCCAUCGAUCCCUUCGUUCUCUAUGUAGCCACUUCAGCUCUAAUGUCAAUCGCACCUGGCUCUUGUGUCCGAUCGCUUAUUUCUGCUGUCACGGAGAAAACGGCAAGUGUGCAGUUCAGCUGGCUUUCUGGGCCAACGUCACCUGUAGCAAUCAGCGGUAGCGAACUAAAAGCAAUAUAUUCUUUAGUCCCUGCUCAAAGCGGAAUUGGAAUAGCAGUUUCUGUGAUCACCUACUCCGAACAAAUUUAUCUUACUGUUGCUACUGAUGCUGCUCUUGGACAAACUGGAGAAAUCCUCUUGCAUCAUAUCAACCUACAGAUUAACAAGUUGUAUGAGCUACUUCAUAAUAGGAGGAUUCCUGGCGAAGGUCAUCGAUCAGAUGCAGUUAGUUUGUCAACAUUCCCCAAUAUUCGAACCGCCCCUGUCGAUAGUAUUGUGGAACGAAUGUACAAAGUGCAGCAAGAAAUCCAAAGGAUUUGUGAAAAUAAACGACCACCUCUUAUCGAAAGAGAAAGAUGUCAGUGUUUAAAGGCAGAGUUCACAGUUCUACUCAAAGAACUUCGAAGGAGGAAAAGCCAAAACAACCAACAAAAACACAAAAAAACUCAAUUACCCCAGGAUCUGGACAGUGAUGACUACGCUCAAGGUCUACGGCAUCGUCGAUCUAUGUCCUGCCCUUUCAUGGUGCGACCCAAUCUCUCCACCCUCAACAUUUUGGCCAAUGCUCAUGGACUCCAUCACAGUGAGAACAGCCCAAACAGCAGUCCGCUCAAGAAUCUCAGCCCUGCCAGUCCACUGAAAAAUCCCUGUGCGUCAAGUCCAGUCCCGAGAGGAUCAAUAACUUCACCUCUUAAAAACAUUCCAGUGAAUGCCCCCCGUGCUAAUCAUUUCCCCUCACAAGUGUCUUCUCCUGUGGAUCAUCCACACAACCGCACGUUAACUAGCGUUAAGAGCACUAUUUUCUCAUCGACGCGAGUCUAUGACGUAGACGAAUCUCAAAACCACGCAAGAAAUGUGCCCAGUUUUAGUUGCUCUUGCGCUGAAGAGCACAGGACCAGUUUUACGAAUAGUCACGAUAACUUUCUCUAUUCUCCGCAAGAUUUGGAGCCGGUCAAGUCUUCCCAACUUUCCAGUAGUUAUGGUCGGCCCCUGUGUAGAAACAACCAAACCAUUAUCAAGAUGCCUGAGUAUGUGAUGCCAGAGUUAUCGACCAUUAUUGCCUACGACAAUGCUCUUCCAAUUAAUAGUACAUCCGUAGAUAUAUAG